rnacentral:piRNA from 1 species
UGGAACAUCUCUUAUACACAGCCUA